UACAGAGGUCCCGAGCGUUGUUCGGAUUCAUUGGGCGUAAAGGGUGCGUAGGCGGCGGGGCAAGUCUGAUGUGAAAUCCCGGGGCUCAACCCCGGAACUGCAUUGGAUACUGCCUUGCUGGAGUACUGGAGAGGGAACUGGAAUUUACGGUGUAGCAGUGAAAUGCGUAGAGAUCGUAAGGAAGGCCAGUGGCGAAGGCGGCAUCCUGGACCAACACUGACACUGAGGAGCGAAAGCCAGGGGAGCAAACGGG
rnacentral:rRNA from 1 species